GCGCUCGCUUCGGCAGCAUAUACACUAACAUGGGAACGACACGGAGGAGAUUAGCAUGGCCCCUGCACGAGGGUGACACGCAAAUUCGGGAAGGAGUCCAUAUUUCU